GUGUUGUAUGAAAGAGAGAAGGUGAGCAGUCCCCUUGACAAGGAGGGACGAGGCUGUUGGGCCUGAUGCCAUGCACACGGCCAGGCAUUGCUGCCUCCCUGGCGGCCCCUGAGCAUCAUCUUUU